GGAGGGGUGGCCGAGCGGUUUAAGGCACCGGUCUUGAAAACCGGCGUGGGCGCAAGCCCACCGUGGGUUCGAAUCCCACCCCCUCCGCCA
rnacentral:tRNA from 1 species